UACGUAGGGAGCAAGCGUUGUCCGGAAUCAUUGGGCGUAAAGCGCGCGUAGGUGGCUUCAUAAGUCCGUUGUGAAAGUCAAAGGCUCAACCUUUGAAAGCCGAUGGAUACUGUGGAGCUAGAGUACGGAAGAGGCGAGUGGAAUUCCCGGUGUAGCGGUGAAAUGCGCAGAUAUCGGGAGGAACACCAAUGGCGAAGGCAGCUCGCUGGGACGGUACUGACGCUGAGGCGCGAAAGCGUGGGGAGCAAACAGG
rnacentral:rRNA from 1 species